GACGAACGCUGGCGGCGUGCUUAACACAUGCAAGUCGAACGGAAAGGCCCUGCUUUUGUGGGGUGCUCGAGUGGCGAACGGGUGAGUAACACGUGAGUAACCUGCCCUUGACUUUGGGAUAACUUCAGGAAACUGGGGCUAAUACCGGAUAGGAGCUCCUGCUGCAUGGGGGGGGUUGGAAAGUUUCGGCGGUUGGGGAUGGACUCGCGGCUUAUCAGCUUGUUGGUGGGGUAGUGGCUUACCAAGGCUUUGACGGGUAGCCGGCCUGGGAGGGUGACCGGCCACAUUGGGACUGAGAUACGGCCCAGACUCCUACGGGAGGCAGCAGUGGAGAGUAUUGCACAAUGGGGGGAAGCGUGAUGCAGCAGCGCCGCGUGCGGGAUGACGGCCUUCGGGUUGUAAACCGCUUUCGCCUGUGACGAAGCGUGAGUGACGGUAAUGGGUAAAGAAGCACCGGCUAACUACGUG
rnacentral:rRNA from 1 species